CCUACGGGAGGCAGCAGUGGGGGAUAUUGCACAAUGGGGGAAACCCUGAUGCAGCGACGCCGCGUGGGUGAAGAAGCGCCUCGGCGCGUAAAGCCCUGUCAGCAGGGAAGAAAAUGACGGUACCUGAAGAAGAAGCCCCGGCUAACUACGUGCCAGCAGCCGCGGUAAUACGUAGGGGGCAAGCGUUAUCCGGAUUUACUGGGUGUAAAGGGGGCGCAGACGGCGAUGCAAGCCAGGAGUGAAAGCCCGGGGCCCAACCCCGGGACUGCGCUUGGAACUGCGUGGCUAGAGUGCAGGAGGGGCAGGCGGAAGUCCUGGUGUAGCGGUGAAAUGCGUAGAUAUCAGGAAGAACACCGGUGGCGAAGGCAGCCUGCUGGACUGCAACUGACGUUGAGGCCCGAAAGCGUGGGGAGCAAACAGGAUUAGAUACCCUUGUAGUC
rnacentral:rRNA from 1 species